rnacentral:tRNA from 1 species
GGUCCCAUAGCUCAGUUGGUUAGAGCACCUGACCCAUAAUCAGGGAGUCCUUGGUUCAAGCCCAAGUGGGACCA